UAGGGAAUCUUCCACAAUGGGCGAAAGCCUGAUGGAGCAACGCCGCGUGUGUGAUGAAGGGCUUCGGCUCGUAAAACACUGUUGUAAGAGAAGAAUGACAUUGAGAGUAACUGUUCAAUGUGUGACGGUAUCUUACCAGAAAGGAACGGCUAAAUACGUGCCAG
rnacentral:rRNA from 1 species